rnacentral:rRNA from 1 species
GUGGAUUAGAUACCCCGGUAGUCCACGCCGUAAACGUUGGGCACUAGGUGUGGGAUCUUUCCAACGGAUUCCGUGCCGUAGCUAACGCAUUAAGUGCCCCGCCUGGGGAGUACGGCCGCAAGGCUAAAACUCAAAGGAAUUGACGGGGGCCCGCACAAGCGGCGGAGCAUGUUGCUUAAUUCGAGGCAACGCGAAGAACCUUACCUGGGCUUGACAUGUAGAGAAAAGCCACAGAGAUGUGGUGUCCUUCGGGGCUCUACACAGGUGGUGCACGGUCGUCGUCAACU